rnacentral:rRNA from 1 species
UGGGGAAUAUUGGGCAAUGGAGGAAACUCUGACCCAGCAACGCCGCGUGAAGGAUGAAGGUCUUCGGAUUGUAAACUUCUGUCGCAGGGGACGAAGAAUGACGGUACCCUGUAAGAAAGCCACGGCAAACUACGUGCCAGCAGCCGCGGUAAUACGUAGGUGGCAAGCGUUGUCCGGAAUGACUGGGCGUAAAGGGAGUGUAGGCGGUUAAUUAAGUUAUAUGUGAAAGCCCCGGGCUUAACUCGGGAACUGCAUAUAAUACUGGUUGACUAGAGUGUGGGAGAGGUAAGUGGAAUUCCUAGUGUAGCGGUGGAAUGCGUAGAUAUUAGGAGGAACACCAGUGGCGAAGGCGGCUUACUGGACCACAACUGACGCUGAGGCUCGAAAGCGUGGGGAGCAAACA